rnacentral:miRNA from 1 species
ACUGUGUGGGGAGGAGAGAGGGACAGAGAGCCUGCUUGCUUUAAAGGAGCAAAGCACGAGUGUAAGCGGCUCCUGUCCGGUUGGCUCCUUUAAAGCAAGCAGGCUCUCUGUCCCUCUCUCCUCCCCACUCAGCUG